AAAAUCAGUUCUCCAUCACUUCAUGUGGGCAUAUCUUCAUUUCUUGGCUCUGAACUGCUGCCUGCUGCUGACAAGCUGGUGAGGUUACAGAACACAGUCUGGGAUUGUGCAGCGGCAGAUUUUGUGCAUUUGAGGACAAACGUAUGACACUCUGCGGCCAGGAGAGGGCCACCAAGACCUGACAGUUUCAUGACUAGAAAACUCUGAUAAUGGACACAUCUCCAGGCUAUUUUCUCAUGGAUUUGAGUAUUAUUUCCAGGAAUAAACUCACUGACACUUGAUGUCACAACAUUUUUACUCRGUCUUAUAGAUAAUGUUUUCAAAAG